ensembl:lncRNA
GUGUCCUCUCUCCCGGUGUAGUGUCCUCUCUCCCGGUGUAGUGUCCUCUCUCCCGGUGUAGUGUCCUCUCUCCCGGUGUAGUGUCCUCUCUCCCCGUGUAGUGUCCUCUCUCCCGGUGUAGUGUGUCUUUCCGAACGGACGAGGCGCUGUUAAACACACACUCGAUACUUAGCGCACACCGACCGUCAUUCUCUCUCUCUGCUUGGAGUGUAUUUGGAGACCUCCAUGGCCACGGGGAGUUGAGAGGGCAAGACGGAAAGGCUUGUUGUCUUUCACGUUUUAAUACUACCCAAGUUGUCCUUAUGCCGCGUUUCACACACUACUGUUCUCGCCACUAUCCCCGAUGCGGUGGAAAACGGGGUGCGGGCUUUCAGAUACGGUAGGUUGUAUACUUUGUGCCGCUAAAUACGGGAUGUUUUGGUUUUAUUUUUUAGGUAGCUUGUUAGCCCUUUAGCCAAGCGGCGGGGGGUGAAACGUGCCUUCGCUUUCUUCUUGUGUGUUUUGAUCGGUGAUCGAAGGGGCUGGUUGCGCUUUGAUCGAUCAAACGGCGUCGGGAUGUUCGUAUCCCGACCGGGUUAGUUUAGUAAUCUGGCUCAUGUUUACUGUGUUAAAGUAGUGUGUUUCGGGCCACCUCAAGGGGCUGAGUGGAGGACAGGGAAGGCAGCAGGCCCGUCUUGUGUGGAGUUUGUUGCCUUGUACCCCCCCCCCCACCGUCUUUCGGGGAGGCCGAGAUGAAUGGGAUCUCACUUCAACGCGAUGGGAGGGAGAGGCUGGCUACGGUACCGGAGGAAGUGAGAGGACUGGACUAACCGGCUGGCUACGGUACCGGAGGAAGUGAGAGGACUGGACUAACCGGCUGGCUACGGUACCGGAGGAAGUGAGAGGACUGGACUAACCGGAUAGUUACGGUACCGGAGGAUCUAGCUAUGUUUUUGUUAAACGGGCAGCUAACUAACUAACGCGUACCGGCGACGUUAAUGUAACUAAGCUAACUAGCUAUUAGCUAACGUUAGUUAUCCACUGUUGUCUUGUUUAAUCAUAACUUCUGUUUUGAUGAGCUAUUACGGUGCUACCUAACAACUAACCGGUGGUUUAUAAUGACCGUAUAUUUCCUAACCAGUCCGGUGUUGAUCCUUGCCGUCAUUGUGGAAGUUGAAAGCAGCAUGGCUCUGCUAGCAAGUGCCAGGUACAACCUCUUUUUGAUGAGUUAUUUGAUAUUAGCUUCAAGACAUGUUCGUGGUGACGGGAGGUAACCUUCAUUCACUGUGUCUGUAGAAGGAAGACCAGCGGCUCCGUGUUUUAUAGUGUAAACAUAUCGCAGCUUAUCGUCCUGAAUCACGUUAUUAACACGACCGGACAUCCCUCCCUUGUUCCUCUUCUCUUCUGUCCUCUUUCUCUCACUCAGAUAAUAAUUAUUCUUUCAGUUUCACCUCUCCCAUCCUCUUGUCUCUCUGCUCUUCCCUCUUUUCUCCCAGGGUCAAUCUGUGAUCAGUAUGUUCAUUCUGUAGUUCAGCUCUGACUCUCUCAGGACCCCCUCUUCUCUCCUCUCUCUCUUCUGUCAGGUAGGACCAUCCCCCUCUUCUCUCCUCUCUCUCUCUUCUGUCAGGUAGGACCAUUCCUCUCUAACUCAUCCCUCUCUCUAACUCAUCCCCCUCUCU